rnacentral:rRNA from 1 species
UACGGGGGGAGCAAGCGUUGUUCGGAUUUACUGGGCGUAAAGGGCGCGUAGGCGGCCAGUGCAAGUCAGUUGUGAAAUCUCCGAGCUUAACUCGGAAAGGUCAACUGAUACUGCUCGGCUAGAGUGCGGAAGGGGCAACUGGAAUUCUUGGUGUAGCGGUGAAAUGCGUAGAUAUCAAGAGGAACACCUGCGGCGAAGGCGGGUUGCUGGGCCGACACUGACGCUGAUGCGCGAAAGCUAGGGGAGCAAACAGG